rnacentral:rRNA from 1 species
UACGGGGGGGGCAAGCGUUGUUCGGAAUUACUGGGCGUAAAGGGCUCGUAGGCGGCCAACUAAGUCGGAUGUGAAAUCCCCAGGCUUAACCUGGGAACUGCAUCCGAUACUGCCGUGCUCGAGGGUUGGAGAGGUAGCUGGAAUUAUCGGUGUAGCAGUGAAAUGCGUGGAUAUCGAUAGGAACACUCGUGGCGAAGGCGGCUCACUGGCCCGGUACUGACGCUGAGGUGCGAAAGCGUGGGGAGCAAACAGG